AUGUCUCUGUGGAAAAAACCAUUUGUAUGAAUAUGAUUGAGGCCUUUGAAUAUUUGACGCAUAAUAUCUUGAACUUGCUCAAGAGUCAAAGGGUCGUUCUUUCUAGUACUUAUUAGCUGGUACAAAUUGCAAUCGAGAAACUCCAUUACAAUAUGUAAACAUCGAAAUUGAUCUAUAUAUAAAUCGAAAAUAUUAACUAUAUUUUCAUUUUCGGAAAGUCUCAACAAAGAAUGUACCUCGCGCAAUCUGGUAGCAUCAGAAACCUUAGCCAGCUUUUUCUUCAUACUUUUUAUAGCUACUACUUCUUUAGAAGGAGUUUUAGUAGUUGCAAGGUAAACUGAACCGAAGGUGCCAUCUCCAACCUUUCGCACAACAUUAUAUACUUCAUCAAUUGAAAUGCAUUUGCGAACCUCCUUGGUAUACUUUGGUUGCUUGCCUGUAAAUACGGUAUUCGUAGUUGGAGUACCCCACAAAUACUUCUUCAUAAUAUAUCCGCACAAAAAUCGAGUUUAGGUACAAAAUAGAAUCAGUGAAGCACCUCAA